GAUGAAGAACGCAGCGAAAUGCGAUAAGUAAUGUGAAUUGCAGAAUUCAGUGAAUCAUCGAAUCUUUGAACGCACCUUGCGCUCUUUGGUAUUCCGAAGAGCAUGCCUGUUUGAGUGUCAUGAAAAUAUCAACCUUGACUUGGGUUUUGUGCUCUAGUCUCGGCUUGGAAUUGGGUGCUUGCCGCUUUUACGAGCGGCUCACCUUAAAUGUAUUAGCUGGAUCUGUCUUUGAGACUUGGUUUGACUUGGCGUAAUAAGUAUUUCGCUAAGGACAUUCUUCGGAGUGGCCUCGUUUCUAGGACGCUUGUCCGCUUUCCAAUACAAGUUCCACCUCGUGGACAUGACUUUUUAUUAUCUGGCCUCGAAUCAGGUAGGACUACCCGCUGAACUUAAGCAUAUCAAUAAGCGGAGGA
rnacentral:misc_RNA from 1 species